UACGUAGGGUGCAAGCGUUGUCCGGAAUUAUUGGCGUAAAGAGCUCGUAGGCGGUUUGUCGCGUCGAAUGUGAAACCCGGGGCUCAACCCCGGGCCUGCAUUCGAUACGGGCAGACUAGAGUUCGGUAGGGGAGUCUGGAAUUCCUGGUGUAGCGGUGAAAUGCGCAGAUAUCAGGAGGAACACCGAUGGCGAAGGCAGGAUCUCUGGG
rnacentral:rRNA from 1 species